GAUGAACGCUGGCGGCGUGCCUAAUACAUGCAAGUCGAGCGAACAGACGAGGAGCUUGCUCCUCUGACGUUAGCGGCGGACGGGUGAGUAACACGUGGAUAACCUACCUCUUAGACUGGGAUAACUUCGGGACACCGGAGCUAAUACCGGAUAAUAUAUUCAACCGCAUGGUUCAAUAGUUAAAUACGGUUUUGCUGUCACUUAUAGAUGGAUCCGCGCCGCCUUAGCUAGUUGGUAAGGUAAAGGCUUACCACGGCAACGAUGCGUAGCCGACCUGAGAGGGUGAUCGGCCACACUGGAACUGAGACACGGUCCAGACUCCUACGGGAGGCAGCAGUAGGGAAUCUUGCGCAAUGGGCGAAAGCCUGACGGAGCAACGCCGCGUGAGUGAUGAAGGUCUUCGGAUCGUAAAACUCUGUUAUUAGGGAAGAACAAAUGUGUAAGUAACUAUGCACGUCUUGACGGUACCUAAUCAGAAAGCCACGGCUAACUACGUG
rnacentral:rRNA from 1 species